GCUCCGCAGCAGACUUCUAUAUAGAUAGAUAGAUAGAUAGAUAGAUAGAUAGAUAGAUAGAUAGAUAGAUAGAUAGAUAGAUAUGCGUCGUGGAAGGGUUCGUUUAAUGAGGUGGGAGCAGUCUGCAUUACGCCUCGGCUUUUGAUAACGUGCCAUCGCGUUCGUCACUGAUAAAUAGUUUUGCUGUUGCGCGGCUGUUGUUUACACCAGCAGAAGCUCAGUGACUCAUGAUGACACAUUGUGAGUAAGCGCACUUGAGCUCAAAAACAACAAACAACGCGGCUGUUCUCAUUUAGACCCAAUUGAAGCGCUCGUUCCACUGCUUGGUGAUGGAAUGACCUGUUAGACGAAAUCUGUUCAACAUUUACUCCAACUGUGCAUUCAUAUUUUUUUUCAUCCGCUAUUAAAUUGAUAUGUUUGCAGUGGAGCUGUAUAAAUUCCCCUCUAAGUUCAAGGUAGCUUCAUCUGGAGGCGUAAAGUUUGCGUGGAGAAAUAUAUUUGUAUUUUAAUACCGCGCUUACCAGUUGGUGAUCCCAGGCAGUUGCGUGACGCUCCUUUAGGGGGCAGUACAGCUUCACAUUGAUUCCUUUUUUGUUAUGAGAAGCAUUGUGGACCUCAGCCCAGAUGUGAUCAACUGGGAAAAAAAGAAGUGCACCUACUCUGAGCUACAAGGACGACACAAACCUGGCAGAGGCCCGCUGCGCUCCCUCCUGCCCUGCCUUAUGCCCACCUGUGUGCCCAUCUGCAGAAGAGCCCCGCCAGUUGUUCUGUUUGUGUGCCAGGGUGAAUCAAGCCCACCGUCUCCACUCCCAGGUUUGUGCCAUGCUAAGUUAUGGAAGUGCCAAUUUGUGAAGACCCUGCUGAAAACCAGGUAUGGAUGAAGAUCCCCCGUGGCAGACAUGCAACAUUUAGCAUCUUUACACAUCCACGAGUUCCCUGAGCGAUGACGCAUGCUGGGCCUUGUGUGAAAG
ensembl:lncRNA